rnacentral:rRNA from 1 species
GGUUGUAAAGCUCUUUCGGCGGGGAAGAAAUUGCUUGGGUUAAUACCCUGAGUAGAUGACGGUACCCGAAUAAGAAGCACCGGCUAACUACGUGCCAGCAGCCGCGGUAAUACGUAGGGUGCGAGCGUUAAUCGGAAUUACUGGGCGUAAAGCGUGCGCAGGCGGUUUUGUAAGUCAGAUGUGAAAUCCCCGGGCUCAACCUGGGAACUGCAUUUGAGACUGCAAGACUGGAGUUUGGCAGAGGGA